rnacentral:lncRNA from 1 species
CUUGCUGUUUGUCACCCCUUCCCUCCAGGAGUGUUAUUACUUCUUGCCAGCCAGAAGCCACUGAGGUGCCCGCCCCUCCGGGCAUGCUCAGUGCUCUGGUCAGGCUUUGACCACCGGACAGGCAGUAAUCUACCAGCCCAGGGAGUCCCCAGUGCCCGGGUCCCUUUAAAUCGGGCUGGCCGGUUGCCAGGCAACGGUGCGGCCCGAGCUGCACUGCAGAGGCUCUUCCCGGAGCCGGCCGGGCCAAGUCGCUGUGGACAGAGCCUAAGGAGGGGCUGCCGCCUGCCAGCGGCGGCGGACUUCAGGGAAGAGAAGACAGAGCUCCCAAGACCGUACCCGCACUUCCAGUUCAAGCUGGAGAAGAACACAGUAUAAGACCUUUGGCUCAGGAAGGGUAAGUAUAGUAGUAUUGGCUGCAGUCUUGUAUCUAAGGACAGAGACUUACCUCGCACACACCUUC